GGGUUGUGAGGUUAAGCGACUAAGCGUACACGGUGGAUGCCCUGGCAGUCAGAGGCGAUGAAGGACGUGCUAAUCUGCGAUAAGCGUCGGUAAGGUGAUAUGAACCGUUAUAACCGGCGAUUUCCGAAUGGGGAAACCCAGUGUGUUUCGACACACUAUCAUUAACUGAAUCCAUAGGUUAAUGAGGCGAACCGGGGGAACUGAAACAUCUAAGUACCCCGAGGAAAAGAAAUCAACCGAGAUUCCCCCAGUAGCGGCGAGCGAACGGGGAGGAGCCCAGAGCCUGAAUCAGUAUGUGUGUUAGUGGAAGCGUCUGGAAAGGCGCGCGAUACAGGGUGACAGCCCCGUACACAAAAAUGCACAUAUUGUGAGCUCGAUGAGUAGGGCGGGACACGUGGUAUCCUGUCUGAAUAUGGGGGGACCAUCCUCCAAGGCUAAAUACUCCUGACUGACCGAUAGUGAACCAGUACCGUGAGGGAAAGGCGAAAAGAACCCCGGCGAGGGGAGUGAAAAAGAACCUGAAACCGUGUACGUACAAGCAGUGGGAGCCUCUUUAUGGGGUGACUGCGUACCUUUUGUAUAAUGGGUCAGCGACUUAUAUUCUGUAGCAAGGUUAACCGAAUAGGGGAGCCGAAGGGAAACCGAGUCUUAACUGGGCGUUAAGUUGCAGGGUAUAGACCCGAAACCCGGUGAUCUAGCCAUGGGCAGGUUGAAGGUUGGGUAACACUAACUGGAGGACCGAACCGACUAAUGUUGAAAAAUUAGCGGAUGACUUGUGGCUGGGGGUGAAAGGCCAAUCAAACCGGGAGAUAGCUGGUUCUCCCCGAAAGCUAUUUAGGUAGCGCCUCGUGAACUCAUCUCCGGGGGUAGAGCACUGUUUCGGCAAGGGGGUCAUCCCGACUUACCAACCCGAUGCAAACUGCGAAUACCGGAGAAUGUUAUCACGGGAGACACACGGCGGGUGCUAACGUCCGUCGUGAAGAGGGAAACAACCCAGACCGCCAGCUAAGGUCCCAAAGUCAUGGUUAAGUGGGAAACGAUGUGGGAAGGCCCAGACAGCCAGGAUGUUGGCUUAGAAGCAGCCAUCAUUUAAAGAAAGCGUAAUAGCUCACUGGUCGAGUCGGCCUGCGCGGAAGAUGUAACGGGGCUAAACCAUGCACCGAAGCUGCGGCAGCGACACUAUGUGUUGUUGGGUAGGGGAGCGUUCUGUAAGCCUGUGAAGGUGUGCUGUGAGGCAUGCUGGAGGUAUCAGAAGUGCGAAUGCUGACAUAAGUAACGAUAAAGCGGGUGAAAAGCCCGCUCGCCGGAAGACCAAGGGUUCCUGUCCAACGUUAAUCGGGGCAGGGUGAGUCGACCCCUAAGGCGAGGCCGAAAGGCGUAGUCGAUGGGAAACAGGUUAAUAUUCCUGUACUUGGUGUUACUGCGAAGGGGGGACGGAGAAGGCUAUGUUGGCCGGGCGACGGUUGUCCCGGUUUAAGCGUGUAGGCUGGUUUUCCAGGCAAAUCCGGAAAAUCAAGGCUGAGGCGUGAUGACGAGGCACUACGGUGCUGAAGCAACAAAUGCCCUGCUUCCAGGAAAAGCCUCUAAGCAUCAGGUAACAUCAAAUCGUACCCCAAACCGACACAGGUGGUCAGGUAGAGAAUACCAAGGCGCUUGAGAGAACUCGGGUGAAGGAACUAGGCAAAAUGGUGCCGUAACUUCGGGAGAAGGCACGCUGAUAUGUAGGUGAAGUCCCUCGCGGAUGGAGCUGAAAUCAGUCGAAGAUACCAGCUGGCUGCAACUGUUUAUUAAAAACACAGCACUGUGCAAACACGAAAGUGGACGUAUACGGUGUGACGCCUGCCCGGUGCCGGAAGGUUAAUUGAUGGGGUCAGCGCAAGCGAAGCUCUUGAUCGAAGCCCCGGUAAACGGCGGCCGUAACUAUAACGGUCCUAAGGUAGCGAAAUUCCUUGUCGGGUAAGUUCCGACCUGCACGAAUGGCGUAAUGAUGGCCAGGCUGUCUCCACCCGAGACUCAGUGAAAUUGAACUCGCUGUGAAGAUGCAGUGUACCCGCGGCAAGACGGAAAGACCCCGUGAACCUUUACUAUAGCUUGACACUGAACAUUGAGCCUUGAUGUGUAGGAUAGGUGGGAGGCUUGGAAGUGUGGACGCCAGUCUGCAUGGAGCCGACCUUGAAAUACCACCCUUUAAUGUUUGAUGUUCUAACGUUGACCCGUAAUCCGGGUUGCGGACAGUGUCUGGUGGGUAGUUUGACUGGGGCGGUCUCCUCCUAAAGAGUAACGGAGGAGCACGAAGGUUGGCUAAUCCUGGUCGGACAUCAGGAGGUUAGUGCAAUGGCAUAAGCCAGCUUGACUGCGAGCGUGACGGCGCGAGCAGGUGCGAAAGCAGGUCAUAGUGAUCCGGUGGUUCUGAAUGGAAGGGCCAUCGCUCAACGGAUAAAAGGUACUCCGGGGAUAACAGGCUGAUACCGCCCAAGAGUUCAUAUCGACGGCGGUGUUUGGCACCUCGAUGUCGGCUCAUCACAUCCUGGGGCUGAAGUAGGUCCCAAGGGUAUGGCUGUUCGCCAUUUAAAGUGGUACGCGAGCUGGGUUUAGAACGUCGUGAGACAGUUCGGUCCCUAUCUGCCGUGGGCGCUGGAGAACUGAGGGGGGCUGCUCCUAGUACGAGAGGACCGGAGUGGACGCAUCACUGGUGUUCGGGUUGUCAUGCCAAUGGCACUGCCCGGUAGCUAAAUGCGGAAGAGAUAAGUGCUGAAAGCAUCUAAGCACGAAACUUGCCCCGAGAUGAGUUCUCCCUGACCCUUUAAGGGUCCUGAAGGAACGUUGAAGACGACGACGUUGAUAGGCCGGGUGUGUAAGCGCAGCGAUGCGUUGAGCUAACCGGUACUAAUGAACCGUGAGGCUUAACCUUACAACGCCGAAGCUGUU
rnacentral:rRNA from 1 species